rnacentral:lncRNA from 1 species
CCAUGGCUCCCUCUCUCUCCCUCUAGAUCUGUUUCUCCUCUAUUCUAAUUCGGUAGUGCUUAGGCGAAGCCGUGCUGGAUUAGUUCACCACCACCAUCACCAUGCCGUCGUGCUGGAGAACUCAUCUACCUCUCUGCCCCUCUUGCUGGAUCCAGAAUGCGGUGAUCUUCAUUGAGUUGUACGUGUGCUGAACGCGGAGGUGCCGUCCGUUCGGCACUAGAUCGGGAUGGAUCGUGAUGGGAUCGCGAGACGGAUCGUGAUGAGAUCGGGGAACGGGUUGCGAUUUAGAUCGCGAAGAUGUUCCACUACAUCAACUGCAUUAUAUACGCUUUCGCUUAGCGAUCUACAAGGGUAUGUAGAUUCACUCUCCCCUUUCGUAGAUGAUCAUCACCAUGGAUAGGUAUUGCGUGUGCGUAGGAAUUUUUUUUGUUUCUCAUGCAACAUUCCCCCAACACACCAUACAUGUCGUAGUGGACACGCACAGAAGGUUCAGGAACGGGCCUCUCGGUGGUGUAAACCAAC